CAUGACUAUCAUAUUAAUUCCAUUUCUAACAACAGUGAUGGUGAAACUUUUAUAUCGGCUGACGAUCUACGAAUAAAUCUUUGGAAUUUGGAAAUUUCCAAUCAAAGUUUCAAUAUUGUUGAUGUGAAGCCAGCAAACAUGGAAGAUCUGACUGAGGUGAUAACAUCAGCAGAAUUUCACCCUACUCAUUGUAAUAUGUUGGCAUAUAGUAGUUCAAAGGGCGCAAUCCGAUUGAUUGAUAUGCGGCAGUCUGCUUUAUGUGAUACUCAUAGCAAACUGUUUGAGGAACAGGAAGUACCUGGUUCAAGGUCCUUUUUUACAGAAAUAAUUGCCUCGAUCUCAGAUGUUAAGUUUGCUAAGGAUGGAAGGCAUAUA
rnacentral:misc_RNA from 1 species